rnacentral:tRNA from 5 species
GCGGAAGUAGUUCAGUGGUAGAACACCACCUUGCCAAGGUGGGGGUCGCGAGUUCGAGCCUCGUCUUCCGCUCCA